AGAACAUCGCCCCAAGGACAAUGGCGGAGAUCCUCCGGUCAAUAAUAAUCCGAUUAUUAAUAUUAAUUUGUAUCUCACAGAUCAUCAUCAACAACCAAAAUCUGUUGACAAGAACGAUGCUAUAAAAGAAAACAACGUGAAACCGGCCAACAACUUGGACAAGAAGAUAGAUGAGUCUAGUUUCUGCUCCUGCUCCAUAUUAUAAAGAACUAUUUGCAACUACUGGUGGAUACGAUGCAGACAUGGCAGGAGAUAAAUGAGUUUCGCUGUUGUAGGGGCAGUAUUAAUAAGGCGUGAUAGAUGUUCAUUGAUCAACACAA